rnacentral:sRNA from 2 species
UACUGAAAAUGCGAGCCUCUCCAACUUCGCUGUCUCCCCGUUCGACCCGGUCUGCAAUAUGACCAAGACGAAGAAAACCGGCGCUGGCAAAAAUUGCCGCGGCCCCAAACUGGCCCUGUCGCUCUGGUAAUGACCCAUUUGCUUCUAGUUCCUCUACUACCCCAAUAGAUUCGAUUUCGUCCCCAAACCCCUUUCCACUUUUGGGGGCCGGGCCAACACUUUUUCAUGACAGCCCAACUAGGCCAGAAUAAUUUGAUGUUUACAUGGUUUACUUUUGUCCAGAACGCCCUCACAUAUAACUAUUUAUCCGGAUUGUUGCUUUUGCUACUUCAAUUCCAUUCAGCUUCGCCGCCUAGUCAAUAAUAUCCUCUAUAUAACCCAUCAUUCAUAUUCUCAAACUAGGUGAUUUCAUGAAAGCCG